rnacentral:rRNA from 1 species
UGGGGAAUAUUGGACAAUGGGCGAAAGCCUGAUCCAGCAAUGCCGCGUGAGUGAUGAAGGCCUUAGGGUUGUAAAGCUCUUUCGCCUGAGACGAUGAUGACGGUAUCAGGAGAAGAAGCCCCGGCUACUUCCGUGCCAGCAGCCGCGGUAAUACGGAAGGGGCUAGCGUUGUUCGGAAUUACUGGGCGUAAAGCGCGCGCAGGCGGUUGGACAAGUGAGGCGUGAAAGCCCUGGGCUCAACCUGGGAAUUGCGCUUCAGACUGUUCGACUGGAGUUCGGGAGAGGGUGGUGGAAUUCGCAGUGGAGAGGUGAAAUUCGUAGAUAUUGGGAGGAACACCGGUGGCGAAGGCGGCCGCCUGGCCCGUAACUGACGCUAUAGCGCGAAAGCGUGGGGAGCAAACA